CUACGGGGGGCUGCAGUGAGGAAUAUUGCACAAUGGAGGAAACUCUGAUGCAGCAACGCCGCGUGGAGGAUGACGCAUUUCGGUGUGUAAACUCCUUUUAUAUGUCAAGAAAAUGACGGUAGCAUAUGAAUAAGCGCCGGCUAACUCCGUGGCCAGCAGCCGCGGUAAUACGGAGGGCGCAAGCGUUACUCGGAAUCACUGGGCGUAAAGGACGCGUAGGCGGGUUAAAAAGUCAGGUGUGAAAGCCUAUGGCUCAACCAUAGAAUUGCACUUGAAACUCUUAACCUAGAGUAUGGGAGGGGCAGAUGGAAUUAGUGGUGUAGGGGUAAAAUCCGUAGAUAUCACUAGGAAUACCGAAAGCGAAGGCGAUCUGCUGGAACAUAACUGACGCUGAGGCGUGAAAGCGUGGGGAGCAAACAGGAUUAGAUACCCGUGUAGUC
rnacentral:rRNA from 1 species